rnacentral:rRNA from 1 species
GACGAACGCGGCGGCGUGCCCUAAUACAUGCAAGUAGAACGCUGAAGGAGGAGCUUGCUUCUCCGGAUGAGUUGCGAACGGGUGAGUAACGCGUAGGUAACCUGCCUGGUAGCGGGGGAUAACUAUUGGAAACGAUAGCUAAUACCGCAUAACAGUAGAUAUCGCAUGAUAGCUGCUUGAAAGGUGCAAUUGCACCACUACCAGAUGGACCUGCGUUGUAUUAGCUAGUUGGUGGGGUAACGGCUCACCAAGGCAACGAUACAUAGCCGACCUGAGAGGGUGAUCGGCCACACUGGGACUGAGACACGGCCCAGACUCCUACGGGAGGCAGCAGUAGGGAAUCUUCGGCAAUGGACGGAAGUCUGACCGAGCAACGCCGCGUGAGUGAAGAAGGUUUUCGGAUCGUAAAGCUCUGUUGUAAGAGGAAGAACGACGUGUGAGAGUGGAAA